UAGGGAAUCUUCGGCAAUGGACGGAAGUCUGACCGAGCAACGCCGCGUGAGUGAAGAAGGUUUUCGGAUCGUAAAGCUCUGUUGUAAGAGAAGAACGAGUGUGAGAGUGGAAAGUUCACACUGUGACGGUAUCUUACCAGAAAGGGACGGCUAACUACGUGCCAGCAGCCGCGGUAAUACGUAGGUCCCGAGCGUUGUCCGGAUUUAUUGGGCGUAAAGCGAGCGCAGGCGGUUAGAUAAGUCUGAAGUUAAAGGCUGUGGCUUAACCAUAGUAGGCUUUGGAAACUGUUUAACUUGAGUGCAAGAGGGGAGGGUGGAAUUCCAUGUGUAGCGGUGAAAUGCGUAGAUAUAUGGAGGAACACCGGUGGCGAAAGCGGCUCUCUGGCUUGUAACUGACGCUGAGGCUCGAAAGCGUGGGGAGCAAACAGGAUUAGAUACCCUGGUAGUCCACGCUGUAAACGAUGAGUGCUAGGUGUUAGACCCUUUCCGGGGUUUAGUGCCGUAGCUAACGCAUUAAGCACUCCGCCUGGGGAGUACGACCGCAAGGUUG
rnacentral:rRNA from 1 species